ACCGGAUUGGUGUAGUGGUUAACAUUACUGUCUCUCAUACUUGCGGUCUGAUGGCUUCAAUGUGGGAAACACAGUCGCCCCUGGUUCGAUUCCGGGAUCCGGUG